CUUCUGGAUUAGACGAUAUUAAUUGCUAUAUUUCCCCCAGUUAUACUUGUAACUCAAUAUAAGGCUUCUUUUUUAUGACAUGACGUUGGGUGUACGACCGGAACAGUAGUGCCACUAUUUAAUUGUUUGUUUUUAAAUCUAUUUGAGUUUAUUUGAUCCACUGCCAACGCCACAUGUUAACGUUGUUUUUGAUCACAUUGUCAAUAUUUGGAUAGCCACUUUGAAUCAGAAAAGUUUAUCUUAGAAAUUGAAAAUUGGCUGGUGAAAUAUAUUCCCUCAUAUUCGUUUCUUGGCCAUUUAAAUCUUGCUAAAGCAGUAUCAUUAAUUUAUCAAAUUAAUUAAAUAGACAUUCUUAAAU